ACAUCGCACCUUCUCAACACACAUGCAAAGCCUGCUGCUCAUGGUCUAGGUUCUGAGAAAAUGUGGUGCGACGUUGACUCUGCGUGUGAGUGUGGGCACACGAGUGUGUUAGCACCAGCCACAAGCUGGUGAAAUAUGAAAGUGACUGGUAGACUACAGACACAAAACAAUUAUUUACUAGGAUUUACUGGUGGGUUUGACCCAUUUGUCUCCCAGUGACUAGUAGAUGUCUUAAAAAGUUCAUUUCCAACCCUUGUAAAUAUCGCAUGUGUGUGUG